rnacentral:lncRNA from 1 species
AACACUCUUGUGUUCAAUAGUAAAUAAAUUGACAGUGAUGUGAAAAUUAAUCAUGAAAUUUACAUUCAAGAUGUUCUUGAAGCUGCUCUUCUUCCUUGGUCCAAGUCCCACUUUGACAACCAGAAAUAGAUUUUCCAGCGAGACAGUGCACUGGAAAGCAGAAAUCCAGGCUUGGUUUGGUAAUAAUGGAAUUGACUUUAUCCCAUGGUCUGAAUGGUCACCAUAUAGCUCAGACCCAACCCCAUCAACUAUAGCUUGUCAAUAUUGGCAAGCAUAGCUAUGCUAUACACCAAAACUUGGAUUUCCUGUGGGGUGUCCUCAUCUGUCAAUAGUAUAAAAUAUCUGUCAAGGAAGUACAAGCCAUCUGUAACAGCUUUAUGAAGCAUCUGUAUCAAGGCAUGUGAAGGUUUCUUGGAGAAAUAUAAAUCUGACAGAAAAAGUUAGAUAUAAAUAACCAGAUUAAACCACAGAAAAUACAAUAGAAAUGAAUUUUCAUAAAAGAUUAAAAGGACAAGUCACUGCAUGAUAGCUCAAAGAGAGCUGGAGCAGCACAACUACUAGCAAAUGCAGGCAGCUUUGCAAAAUGGGAGAGGGAAACAAACAGUGAUGCUUACAAAAAGGAAAAUUUGGAGAGUGGCAAACACCUGAAACAUCAAUGGGAAAUGGAUGAAAGAGAAACCCAUCCUUGUCGCUGCCACAGUACAAUUUACCCUGGAAAAACUAAAAUGCACUAAACAAUAUCUAAAGAAAAAUAGAAUUUUCUGAAGAUAUAUUCCAAUAAUCCUUUUUGAAUAUAUUUAUUUUCAAGAAGGAUGGAUUUGGAGGAAAGGUUGAGAAAAUUGCUUGAGCAGAGAGAGAGAGACACAUUGAAGAUAUACAGUUUUUUAAAUAACGUCUAUGCGAAGAAACCAUCCCAAGAACACUUCAACUGAGAAAAUCAAUUAGAAGAGAUAUCCACAAAGAAGAAGUAUGGAAAAUAGAAAGAAUGAUAAUAAAAUCAGUUAUCAGAAAGAAAGGUAAAACAAUUCGUUUUAUGUCUAAGCAGAUUAAGGAUAUUAAAAAGAAGUUGAAUAAAAAGUUAAGGUUACAAACUUUUAAUAAUAGGAAAUAUAUAAAAAAUAAAAAUGCUAAAUUGUUAAAAUUAUUUGAUUAUACAUUAGAAAACGAAAAAAUAGAAUGGCAGAAAAAUUUUGUUCUUAAUUUGUCUACAAGGAAAAUGCCAGAAGAUUAUAUACGUUUCUUGUCAUAUGGUGUUAGUAUGAUUUACCUUUCUUUAAUAGAGUAAUAGAUACAAUAGCAGAUAUGAAUGUGCAAUGUUUCAAUGUAACCUUAAAAAAGGAGAGGAAAUUAAAAUUAAGAUAAGUGAAGAUUUGAAGAAGUUUAAUACCAAGAAAGGUUAUAUUAUGGAUUAUAAAGCAAGAUACUAAAUACUAUAGGUAAAUAUUAUAUUUUUAAAGAAUUUUUUAAUUCUAUAAUCUUUGCCUAAUAAAAGCAGACAAAUCACACCAAAUAGUAGUAAUGAAUUUACAAGAUUUAGAAGACAGGAAACAGGAAAUUAUAUUGCAAGGAAAUUUUGAAAAACUUGAAAGAGAUCCAUUCAUCGAAAUACAACAAAGGCUAUCCAAAAAAUUAAAGAAAUUAGUAAAUGAAGGCUACAUCUCAAUACAUCAAAGUAAGAAAUCCUCCCUAAGGAAAAUAUAAGGAUUCCUAAGUUAAACAUUAGAAUUAAAACACAAAAUCAAACAGAGGAAGUGCCGACCAAUCAUUAAGUCUACGUUUUUAAUAAAUACUUCUAAGUUAUAUAAUAAGUCGUUGCAGGUUAUUCCAAAUUCAGAAUACAGCAUAAAAAAUGCAGAGGAGUCAAUAUCAAAAUUAGAAAAAGAAGAAAUUUUGCCUGAAUAUAACAUUGAUAGACUCUGUAUAAUCAUAUUAUUAUUAAUAGAAGAGUACAUGUAAGUAUGGAGUUUCAAAUUAUUUAAGAGAGAUAAUUAUUAGCCAGUACAAAACUAAUUAUUUUACAGUAAAGAAAACUUUUAUUGCCAAAUUGAUGGCAUUUCCAUGGGUUCAGUAAUUGAACCAAAACUAGCAGAAAUCUACAUGCUAGAUAUGGACAAAACUUUAUCAAACCUAACGGGCAUUAUAUUUUUUGCAAGGUAUAUUGAUGACAUAUUGAUUAUAUAUAAUAGUGUAAUAAUGACACUUAUUCAAAUAUUAAAUUCACCCAAGAAUCUGAGAAGUAUGAUAAAAUAAUUUAUUUAGAUAUAAUGAUUACACAAUUUAUAGAUUGUCUUGAAUAUUGUAAAUUUGAAAAACGAUGUAGUGCUAAAAAAGUAAUUAACUUUAAAUCAUAUUGCCCUAUAAAUCAAAAACGUAAUAUAUAUUUAAUGGAAAUAAGAAAGAUAUUUUCCAGAACAACAAAAACAGAUAUAAGAGAACAGGAAAUAAAAGCAAGAAGUAUAUUCUAAAUGGGUAUCCAAAGAAAAUAUUAAAUAAUUGGUAUAACCAAUUCAUAUCAAAUAGAUAUAAAGUGAAAGAGAAACAAGAAACAAAACAGUACAUAUCAUUUCCUUAUAUAAAAGGCAUAUAUGAAAAAUAUAAUAAAAUUCUUAAUCAAAAUUUAAUUAAACUGGCUUCAACUCAAAAUAAUAGGUUGUCCAAUCUGAUGGUUAUAAGAAGUAUUAAAAAGGACCCAUUAGAAGAAGAAGGCAUGAUCUACAGACUCAAAUGCACAUGUAAUAUUCCAAGUUUCUGUAUUGGUGAAAUGAAGAGAAAACUGAAGACCAGAUUGUUGGAACAUUUAGCAGCUGUAAGAUUAAAAAUUAAUAAUUCUCCUAUCUUUCAUCAUUGUAGUAUUAAUAAUUGUGAAAUUAGCAUUAACUUUUCUUUUUACAUUAUUUUUUUCCUUAUAAACAAUUUUUACAUUAUUAAAGAACAUUUUGCCAUAGUUAUGCAAAAUAAUACAGUUAAUUUAAAUACGGAUGUGUUGACAGCUUCAUACCGGGAGACUUUUGUCAGAUAUGUAAAUGGAAAUUCGUAAUGUAAAUCCAUAAUGGAAUAUUGUCAAGAGUUUAAAACUGUAUGUUGAUAACCCUACUGAGGAGGCCUAUUUUUUUGGUGAAAUGCAUUUAGGGUACUUAACAAUGUAAUAAAGUGUUUUAUAUGAUUGGGUUUGCUUUUACCUUUUUUAACUUUAUAUCAAUAAUGAAAUAAAAAUUAAUGUUUUAGAAUUUUAAAGUUAUCUACCCUCUGUAAGUCAGAACAA